CAAUUAGGGCGAACCCGUCUCUGUGGCAAAAGAGUGGGAAGAGCUUCGAGUAGAGGUGACAGACCUACCGAACCUAGUAAUAGCUGGUUGCCUGGGAACUGGAUAGAAGUUCAGCCUCAUAGCUUCUCCCUUCACCUCCGUACUAACUUCCUCCGGAUACUGUAAGAAACUAUGAGAGUUAGUCAAAGGGGGUACAGCCCCUUUGAACCAAGAUACAACUUUUACAGGUGGGUAAAGAUCAUAAUAAUCAAGGAAAAAUGUUUGGGUGGGCCUAAAAGCAGCCAUCCCCAUAGAAAGCGUUAAAGCUCGGACAUAUCAUUCCUCCUCUUAUCCUGAUAACUUUAUCUUAGCCCCCUAACCUUACCAGGCCGCCCCAUGCCAACAUGGGCGUGACCAUGCUAAUAUGAGUAAUAAGAGAGCCCUACCCCUCUCUCCUCGCACACGUGUAAAUCGGAACGGACUACCCACCGAAACUUAACGGCCCCAAACAAAGAGGGUAUUGAAAAAUUACCUAAACAAACCAGAAAACCAUCCACCUCCCUACCGUUAACCCCACACUGGUGUGCCACAAAGGAAAGACUAAAAGAAAGAGAAGGAACUCGGCAAACACAUAAAGCCUCGCCUGUUUACCAAAAACAUCGCCUCUUGCAAGACUAAAGAAUAAGAGGUCCCGCCUGCCCAGUGACAACUAGUUCAACGGCCGCGGUAUUUUGACCGUGCAAAGGUAGCGUAAUCACUUGUCUUUUAAAUGAAGACCUGUAUGAAUGGCAU
rnacentral:rRNA from 1 species